rnacentral:lncRNA from 1 species
CCUGGAGACAACAGAGGGAAUGUUGCUCAGUCAGGGGGGGGGGGCCCAAAGAGGUAUAAGCCAGGCAGAACUGGAUGGCGUACUUAUUGGGAUUCGCUGCCUACAUUCACCAUCGCUUCAACCUGCUGUCCAGAACAUUUGGGACCCUCUUGUCCAUGCAGCUCCUCAGGCUAGAUAUCUGAAAGUCAUUUUUGAUACCCCCUUCUCUCCUCAUCUUCCACAUGCAGUCUGUGACUGGUCCCGGUGAUUCUAACCUCAAAUCCAUCGCUUUUCUCCAUCUCCACUGCCACCGUCCUCAUCCAACGAGCCAUGUGGCUGCACCCAGUAGAGUUGUGCAUCCAGAAGGACACGAAACCUGUUUGGACUCUGAUUACCUUGUGGAACUGCAGAGGAACCAAAAGAGGCCAUCUACUGAGCUCGUAACCACCAACCAGGUUACUGUCAUGGGAACUCAUCUCAAGGGAUCUCCUAUUGGUGAUUUUGGCUCUUGCCCUCCACUUAUACUCCUUUCCAGAUUUCUUUCAUCCUCUUAUGAUACAGGUUCUUCUGGUAAGUUGCUUUAUUUUCAAUUCUCUCUAGUCACUGAUGUUACUUAGAAGAAGGCAAUUCAGUGCGUGUCCAUGAGGGAUUGGGUGGAGCACAGAAGACUAAAAUAGGAUAGGUACAUUAAAAAAAUGGGAUAGGUUAGGAAGAGAGGUGUGAAAGUACUAGAUUAGGCCCAAGACAAAGUUAUUCAUGUGAAACCCUAUGUCGAUAACCCAACACGUUUUGCUGAGGUCUUCCGGAAAAGGAAGGCCUAGGGCCACUGGUCAGCACUUGCCUGUUCAACACGAGUUACCUGAACUGGCUCCAAAACUUUCCUUUGCUUUGUAUAAAGAAAGUCCCCCCUGGGGAGGGUAUGUGUUUUGGUGAGUGCUGUGAAGUGUGUAAACCUGGUGAUUCACAGACCUGUACCCCUGGGGAUAAAAAUAUAUGUUUAUAAAAAAUAAAAAAUUAUAUUAAAAAAAAAAAAAAGAAAGAAAGUCCCCCCUGCUUUAACCAGUCAGCACAUACCAAGUAUAACUGCUCACUUUGGUCUAUACAAACCUCUCACCCUGUACAGCUCUGAAGUGCUCCUUUCUAUCUGCUAGAUUGGAUGCUGCCUGAUUCGUGAAUUGUUGACUAAAAGCCUAUAAAACCAGUACAUUGUGGAAAAACUUUCUUUUAAUGGAAGCAAGGCCCUGGAAGCACUGUAGAUUGACUGGGGGCCACCAAGGAUAUGGAAGUGAAAUCAGGAAGGUUCAGAAUGAGGGUAGACUAGGUCACAACUCUUUUAAGUAUAUUGCCAAUUAAGGACAUCUUACUCUUACUCUAUCACAUGUAUUGAGGCUGAGUCUACUUGCAUUCAAGCAAAUAUUGAGGCACUUAUGUAGGUAAUUUAAACCAAAAAAACCCAAAUUCUCCCCGUUGACUUGAAUAUCUAGAUAGUACAGGCAAACAUGUAUUUGAGGUCAUGAAUUAUGCAGAAAAUCUCUUCAAUUCAUCAUUAUAUUUUUUUCCUUGAGCU